rnacentral:snRNA from 1 species
CUCUUUACCUUGCAAACGAGAUACCAUAGUCAAGAAGAUGGCUGUACCAGGGUGAAGCUUAUCAGCUGCAGUCCAGGUGUACCCAGCCCUGCCACUUCCCUGAAUACAAAACAACCGACUGUAUCCUUUGUGGCAUUGGGGACCUGUGUUCCUCCUGUUUUUCUCUCCU